CGGCGCUGCCGUACGCUGAGAGCGGGCGGAGGCUGCGGGAGCGCCGUAACAUGGCGGCGUCUGGCAGUGGCGGCAGCCGGGCGGAUAACGGCUACGGUAGCCAGCAGCCGCGGCGGAGGAAGGGCCCGGGUGCCCUGGCCACGGCCUAUCUCGUUAUCUACAACGUGGUGAUGACGGCGGGAUGGCUUGUUAUUGCGGUUGGUCUAGUUCGAGCAUACCUGGCUAAAGGUAGCUACCAUAGCCUUUACUAUUCAAUAGAAAAGCCCCUGAAAUUCUUCCAAACUGGAGCUUUGCUUGAGAUUCUACACUGUGCAUUUGGCAUUGUUCCCUCUUCGGUUGUUCUGACUGCUUUCCAAGUGAUGUCAAGGGUUUUCCUGACGUGGGCAGUAACACAUAGUGUAAAAGAGCUCCCCCUCAGCUGUUUGUGCACAGCAAUGCCUGGAUGUUCUCUGUUACCACUCUCCAGGAAAAUCUUCCCCUUGUCCUUCAUUCAUUUUUCUUGCAUGCAAGCACAGGUACAAACUGAAGAUAGCGUCCUGUUGUUUGUAGUGGCCUGGACAAUCACUGAGAUAAUCCGUUACUCUUUUUAUACGUUUAGCUUAUUAAACCAUCUCCCUUAUCUCAUCAAAUGGGCCAGGUACACUUUGUUUAUAGUAUUGUAUCCAAUGGGAGUCUCGGGCGAGUUACUCACAAUAUAUGCUGCAUUACCUUUCGUCAGGCAGUCUGGCUUGUAUUCCAUUAGUUUACCUAACAAGUACAAUUUUUCUUUUGACUACUAUACAUUCCUCAUCCUGGUUAUGAUCUCCUACAUUCCAAUCUUUCCUCAGCUGUAUUUUCAUAUGCUACAUCAGAGGCGAAAGGUACUCUCUCACACUGAAGAACACAAGAAGUCGGAGUAAUUCCAACUCUUUUUCAGAACUUUUCAAACAUCAAAAUGCUGCAGAUUUUCAAUACCCAGCACAUUUAUAAAGAAUAUACCAAGAUAGAAUAAGUCAGAGGUAGAAGACCAAUAAUUUAACAAGAAUAACCAAUAAAUCUGAUUUCACUGAAAUUCCACAAUGUAAAACAUCUAAAUAAUUUUCAGCUUGCAGUGCUUCAGAAAACUGUUAAACUUUGUGGCUUGGCAGUUAGCCUUUUCCUUUUCCUUAAAUGAUGUGCUAAACGGUUUUCAUUUAUUACUAAAUGCCUGAAGGCUGCAGUAUGAGCGAUGAAGUUGUACCCACUAAAUGCUUGAAUUGGGAUUAUAUUACUGAUACCUCCUUUUUUUUAAGUGCUUGACUGCAUGCCAGAAACUGUAUGUAUUGCUGUGAAAGCAAACAAUAUGCUCUGGAAUACUUUAUGAUUUUUGUCAGAGACUCCAGUGAAGAAUGUAAUCUGGGCAAAGUGUUUGAAUUAAAGGAAUCUGGUAUUACCUGGAGCUCUGAAAGAUUAAGCAUAGACUUUUUAUGCAUGGUUGGAAGAUAUUUCUACUUGAUAAUACAGUGAAAUGGUUUGUAUGCUAAAAUACUUGUCCAUGUUGUUGCCUUGUGAAAUUGAUUCUGUGCUCUCUGCCUGGAUUUGGCCUACUGAUCAGUGAUACUAAUUGCUAUAAUCCAAAUAAAAUAAUUCUGAACAAAAUACGUUGUAUUGUUACUGUUUAAAGAACAAAAGCAGAUACUUGAUGAAUGUCAAUUAGGGCUAUGGUUUUAUUCAUUUGUAUAUAAUCUGUACCUUACAAUUUACAAGAUUUUUUGGCAUACAUAACUUCUGAGCUGUUAUGAAUGCUCUGCUUUUCACUUCUAAAAGAGGCAUUCGUAACAGCAUGUUAACUGACUAUGUCAGCAUUCAAACUUACAACUUCCUAAAGGAUCCUCUACAGAAUGCAAGCUUUUUAUUCUGUUGUUAUCUGAACUCUAGAUGGUGAUGGUUUUCUGCAAAAACAAAAUCAUUUGAGUAUUAUGUAGUGGAAUGCUUAACUAAUGCAACAGAAUACUUCAGAGUUCAUUUACUAAAUACGAUAUGUCUGCUACCACAGCAACGUUCUUAGCAUUUUUAACACUUCCUGAGAGAGAUUUAAAUACUGUGUCUAGAUGCCAUUAAUGCUCAUAAAUAACAAAUUACAAUCCUCUAAUUGGAACUGAGUGGUAAUUGCAGAGUGGGUUCUACUACUCUAGGCAUAUGCUUGUCAUAAGAUUGAACAACUACAGUGAUUUUUUUGUUUGAUUGCAGACAGGAUGAAAUAAUGUUGUCAUGCCCAGUAUCAGCACAUGUCCUAUGCAUAACAACUGUGACUUAGCACUACUGUGUAAUUAAAAACUUCUCUUUGAAAUGUUAUGCUGUGAAAAGUGGUGCUGAGCUCCAUGUGUGCCUUAGAAUAACUAUUACUGGUUAUUUGUGUUUCCUCUUUGCAUUUUGAAAACAGUAUAUGUGGAAACAAUUUUAGUUACCUAGGGUAACAUUAAAAAGUCCGAAAAGCAUAAGGAUUCUGUGUUUGUAAGCAAAUUAAUUUCACAAUAGCAUUUAAGAUAAUGCUUAUCUUAAAGCAUUGGCAGUUCUUGACAUAAGAAUUCAGGAAGGAUCUGUGCUGAUGUGCUGAGUUAAAAAUAAGUGAUGUUCACAUCUGUGGUUCUGUUCUGUUUGGUAGGGCCUGAGCAUUUCUAGAGUGGGUUGGUUGAUUCAAGCCAUGCAACUGCCUGGAACUUCCAUUCAGUAUUACGUGGCUUUUACAUUCUGCUUCCUGUCUCCUGUGGAAAUACUUUUCCACCCUUGUCAGAAGACUUCUCAUACUACCUUGAAGCAGUUGAAAUUAAAAAUGUGGAUGGAAAAUUCUAACUCAUUUAAUACUGUCAGUCACUGAUUUCCAGAAUAAUGCUUUCCUUUACAGAUAUGAAAGAUUCUAAAGCCCGUUUUAUGCCUUCAGAAAUCAGUUGGACCUUGUAUUGUCAGAGGUGUAUUUUUCUCUUUGGUGUGCUGACAUUGAUAAUGUGCUACUAUUAGGGAAAGAGAUGUAACUGUCAAUAUUCUACCUUAAUUUUUCUAGUGGUUUAAUACAUAGAUGCAUAUCCCAUGAUGUCCUGGGUUCAGGACAUGGCACAUGAUAAAAGCAUAAUUAACAAUAUUUAGAAACACUUCCAUAUUCAGUUAUACUCGCACAAGCUCUAUCACAAGCUGCCUCUCUAUAGAUUGAAUGAAUUUUGUAUAGUUUGUAUAUAGAAACUUUAUAUUACCUGGUACUACAUAAGGAUGUUGUUAUUGGGAAAUUCGUUAGUGGAAGUUUUUGCAGACGCUUAUUCAGCUGAAUUGUGAACACUGAAUUGCAUUUUGUCCUGUCUUUUUGACUCCUGCUUCAGACAGUCUGCGUAAUCUUCUGCAAACCAUCUGUUAGCUCUUACAAGUCUAUGUUAAAAACUUUAAUAGUGACAUUUUCUAGUUUGAACACUUGAACUCACACAGUCAUAUUUGCUGUGUCAUCUGGGGCACUACAGUGGGUAGUUUCACUCUAGAAACUGUGAGUGAUAUUCUGAAGAAUAUAUAUAUAUGUGUAUAGGCAUUCCAGGUACCUUUUCUAAAAUUAGUUUUAAGUUGAUGUAAAUUUAAAAGUCAGCCCUUUGUUUCUCAUGCAUCUAGCAUGCUUCAAAAAUUUUUGUGAAGAGGAUGUAGAAGUGGAGGGCCUUCCAGUCAGCCUAACGCUAGGUUGCUUUUAUGAAAUCACUUUGCCUUCUAGUUAAAGGUUACUUCAGGUAAAAUACAACCUCUUCACUUCCUGGGUAAGAAAAAGAUGCUGAGUGCUGGUCUUCUGUACUAAAUGACAGUCAAUAAAAAGAUGUGAUAUAAGAAGAGGAGAGGUACUGGGUGAUACAGAGCUACCAUUGUGCUUCCCAAAGAAUAUUUGGGGGUUAACAACUUCCUUUUUAUCUUUGGUAUCCAGUAGUUGGGUGUUUUUGGAAGAGGAGGGGUGGUUGGUUGGUUUAGGUUUUUUGUGGUUUUGUUUUGGGGUUUGCGUGUGUGUGUUUGGUGGUGUGUUUGGUUUUUUUUGUUUGUUUUCUUUAAGGCAGAAUAACAGUGCUUAAAGGAAAUGCUGCAAUGUUUGUCUGGUAUGCUGAUGGCACGAAGUCCUUCUUAUUCUCCACCAGGUGUUUAUUACAUGAUUAUGGGGAACUGGAUGCACUGGCUUAGCUGCUGUUUUAGCUCUCUGUUCCUGUGCAUAAACUACUCCUGGGAAAGUUACUGGUUUGAGUAUUAAAUGUAUUUCCUUACUCAGCUUUUUGGUGCAAUUUAAGUAAACAAAGUACUUUAACUGUUCUGAAGUUAGCAAACUGGAACAGUGGAAAAAGCUUUCUUGCAUCACGAAGAAAAUGGAUGUGAAAAUGAAAGUACAACAUUGCUAGUUAGUUUAGUUAGUGAAACUGGAAAAAUAACAGUUGAUAUUGUCCGAGCCCUACCAGAAGUAAACUGUGCUAUCUGAAGAUACUGAAUUAUUCUUCAAAAAGUAUUAUCAAAUCAAGGGAUAUGUGGAAGCAUACACCAUACAAACAUGGGCCAGUUGUAAGCAUUCGUGAGCCACUGUGCUCCAGGUUCCUGUUGACAAUGUGAUUGGGCUAUAGCUUGCCAGAUUUUGAAGAAAUAGAUUGCUGAUGGAAAUAUGUAAAACUACUAUAUACCACUGGUGUUAAAAAAGUUUCAAACUGAAAGAAACUCUCAUUGAAUAAUAACUCUCAUUGCAUAAGAAACUCUCAUUGGAGUCCUACUAUAUGAAUUCUUGAUAAUAAAUGUACAAUAUAUUGCUGUCUGCCUGUUGAAGUUGUGUAAUUCAAUAACUUUUCAAUAAAAAUGUCUGGUUUUGUGUAUUUUUAUUGAAGCCUGGCAGUAAUUUUCUUUUUUUCUGGCCCAAACACAUGUUCUUGACUGGGACUAUAUUCACUAAAAAGUACUAGCCAGAUCUGAAAGACGGGUAGAAGUGUCAGAGAAAUUCCUGCAACUUGUGUCCGUGCUUAGCUUCAGACCACCUCCAGCAUCCCUUAAUCUCAUGUCAGUGAAUAAAAGGGGUUGGACACAGAAAAUAAGAUGAAAACAUUUGCGACUAGGUUUUGCUAGUCUUGUCCACAGAAUAGCACUUUUCUGUGCACCCUCUUGUGGUUCGUUCCAUAAGUAGGACAGUAUCAGUCUGUUUUUUUCAGUGUAAAUUUGAUGGGCAAAACCACCUGACCAUGGGCCCUGUUUUCAGCUGUGCUGAAGUUAGCCUUCCUGGUAGUGGAUGC